rnacentral:rRNA from 1 species
CUGAGAAACGAAAUACACCGCCUGGUGGAUGGCUAGGCACAAGGGGCGAGGAAGGGCGUGGCAAGCUGCGAAAAGCCUCGGGUAGGCGCAUGCAGCCUUCGAUCCGAGGAUUCCCGAAUAGGUUAACCUGCUAGGUUAAAGCCUAGCAAGCGUGCCGUUAGGUGCGCCUGCGAACUCCCUGAAAGGAAACAUCUGAGUAAGGGGAGGAAAAGAAAUCAAAUCGAGAUGCCCUUAGUAGUAGAGAGCGAAAAGGGCAUAGCCCAAACUGAACUCUGUACAGCAAUGUAUGGGGGAUGUGGUGUUUGCCGUAGGAGUAUAAUAGGGUCUGUCGCCAGCCGAAGUGGUCUGGAAAGGCCCGCCAAAGUGGGUGAUAGCCCCGUAGGUAAAAGUGAUGGGUCCUAUUUCUUAUUGGCAGAGUACCCGGCCUUGACAAUGGUUGGGGAAGGUGGGGGAAAGCGGUCUCCAAGGCUAAAUACUUCUUGUGACCGAUAGCGUACAAGUACCGCGAGGGAAAGCUGAAAAGCACCCCGGGAGGGGGAUGAAAAGUGCCUGAAAUCAGGCGGUUAAAAUCGUGCAGUGCUCAGAAGGAUUCUUCUCGAUCCGUUGUAGUCGCAAGACUACAGUGGGUUUGCAGGAUUCCAGGGUAUUGCGGUCCGUCUAGAAACACGGGCCAGGGAGAUUACCUUAAUGGCAAGUCUAAGGGUUAAAAGCCCGUAGGCGAAGGGAAACCGAUAUUUCGCAGCUCCGCAAGGAGUGAGGAAAAGGGUGUCAAUAGCGCCCUUUAGCCAUUGGGGCAAGACUAGAAACCGAGUGAUCUUGCCCAGGACAGGGCGAAGCCGGGGGAAACCCUGGUGGAGGCCCGCAAGGGUCCUGACGUGCAAUUCGGUCCCCUGAACUUGGGCAAGGGGCCAAAAACCUAUCUAACUCGGUGAUAGCUAGUUCCCGCCGAAGCUGGUCCUAGCCAGGCCUGGGCAGAUGUUGUUAGCGUGGUAGAGCACCGAUAGGGAGGCAAGGGGCCGAAAGGUCCCACCUUUCUUUCGAACUCCGAACAUGCUAAUGCAAUAGAAGCCUGGAGACGGGUUUAUGGGGGUAAGCCCCAUAACCAAGAGGGGUUUAACCCAGACCAGUGUUUAGGUCCCAAAGUGCAGGCUAAGUGUCAAGCCGAAGGGCGUCUUUUCGCGAAGACAGCAGGAGGGUAGGCUCAGAAGCAGCCACCCCCCAAGGAGUGCGUAACAGCUCACCUGCCGAGCGAUGAGGCCCCGAAAAUGGACGGGGCUCAAGCCUGUCGCCGAUACACUGGGUCACGCACAAAAUGCGUGGACGGUAGGCGGGCGUAGAGGCCGCGUAGAAGCAGGGUCGUGAGAUCCUGUGGAGUGGUUUCUAGUGCAGAUCCUGGUGGUAGUAACAGCAUAGCUGGGUGGGAAUCCCGGUCGCCGAAAGACCAAGGUUUUCUUGGCAACGCGUCGUCGGCCAAGAGUUAGCCGGUCCUAAGGUUCAUCCCGCAAGGGAUAGGACCGAAAGGGAAACCGGUCAAUAAUCCGGUGCCUUCAGCCCUGACCGCAAGGUCAUGCCAAUCAUUUUUGCCUCCAGAUAGGGCAAGCGGGGUAGUCGCUCCGUCUAACUUUAUGAGCAUGGGGGAGUGUCAUAAUGACGUGAACUUAUGCGAAUGAGGAAUGGCCCAUCUAUGGUGGGUUUGCUCAAUUCCGGGGGACAUUGAAAGAGAUGUUUGGCUGCGGGUUGGAGACCGUACCAAGAACCGACACCGGUGGUCUGGGUGAGGAGCCUAAGGCGUGUCGGGUAUACCGUAGGCGAGGGAACUCGGCAAAAUAGCCCCGUAACUUCGGGAGAAGGGGUGCCUGCAGUCCUAGCGAAGAGCUGGGAUCGCAGGUCGCAGUGACAAGGGGGUCCCGACUGUUUAAUAAAAACAUAGGUGGCCGCUAGUCCGUAAGGAUUUGUACGGCCGCUGAAUCCUGGCCAGUGGCGGUACCUAAAACCCGGGUUCAACCGGGCUAAGGGCCGCUAAACGCCGGGGGUAACUCUGACCCUCUUAAGGUAGCCAAAUGCCUUGUCGGGUAAGUUCCGACGUGCAUGAAUGGAACAACGAGGGCCCCGCUGUCCCCGCCUGCAACCCGGUGAACCCACUUAAGGUGGACGAACAGUCCACCUACUUCCAUCGGGGAGAGAAGACCCCGUGGAGCUUUACUGCAGCUUGCAGCUGCGGUGUGGGUGCGGCUACAGAGAGUAGCUGGGAGCCUUCGAAGUUGGGCCUUCGGGUCCAGCAGAGGCGCAAGUGUAACACCAGCUAGCCGUGCCUACGUCGCUAACCAGGAUAGUACUUGGGACAACUGCAGGUGGGCAGUUCGGCUGGGGCGGCACCCCCUCGAAAAGAUAUCGAGGGGGCCCUAAGGUCGGCUCAGGUGGGUCAGGAACCCACCGCAGAGGGCAAGGCCAAAAGCCGGCCUGACUGGAUCCCUAAACGCGUCGGAUCCAGGGGGGAAACCCGGGCCUAGCGAACCACCAUGUCCCCUCCGUUGGGGGCUGGUGACGACAGAAAAGUUACCCCAGGGAUAACAGGCUCGUCGCGGGCGAGAGCUCCUAUCGACCCCGCGGUUUGGUACCUCGAUGUCGGCUCUUCCCAUCCUGGCCCUGCAGUCGGGGCCAAGGGUGGGGCUGCUCGCCCAUUAAAGGGGAACGUGAGCUGGGUUUAGACCGUCGCGAGACAGGUCGGACUCUACCUGAUGGAAGUGCGCGUUGACUGAGGGGAACUUGCCCUUAGUACGAGAGGAACAGGGCAAGGCGGCCUCCGGUGUACCGGUCCUCCGACAGGGGGAGCCGGGUAGCUGAGCCACUGGGGAUAACCCCUGAAAGCAUCUAAGGGGGAAGCCCCUCCCAAAAAUAGUCAGCGUUCCUGAACUUUUCCUGGCCGCAAGGUCGGGGAAAGAGCAGGAGUAGGGCUGCUGUAAAAUACGGCGUUGAUAGGACGAGGGUGUACGCGAGAAGACCUUUCGGGGUCGACUCGUUCAGCCCAUCGUUACUAAUCGCCCGAACCGUUUCUUGG